GAUUUGUGGAACUUUGAACUUGAGAUAAAUGAUUUAGGGUAUCUGGCGGAAGACAUAUCUAAGCAACAAAACAUUCAAAAUGUGACUUGGGUGUUGUCAAGGGCAUUCAGUUUCAAAAGGAAAACAGAGUAUAAAAGUUUGGAAAAUUUGCAACCUGAAAAUGCAGUAGAAAAGAAAAUCCCAUAUUCUGAAGAGAAAUUCAAGCUGGCUGCAGAAAUUUGCAUAAGUAAUGAGGAGCCGAAUGUUAAUCACCAAGACAAUGGGGAAAAUGUCUCCAGUGCAAGUCAGAGACCUCUGCAGCAGCCCCUUCCAUCACAGGCCCAGAGGCUUGAGAGGAAAAAGUGGUUUCAUGGGGUGCAAGCCUUAGGCCUUGGCAGCUUCCAUGUGAUGUUGAGCCCGCCAGUGCACAUAAGUCAAGAAUUGAGAUUGGGGAACCUCUGCCUAGAUUUCAGAAGAUGUAUGGAAAUGCCUGGAUGCCCAGGCAGAAGUUUGCUGUAGAGGUGGGAUGCUCAUGGAGAACCUCUGCUAGGGCAAUGCAGAAGGGAAAUGUGGGGUGGAAUCCUCCACACACAGUUCCUACUGGGGCACCACCUAGUGGAGCUGUGAGAAGAGGGCCACCGUCCUCCAGACCCCAGAAUGGUAGAUCUGCUGACAGCUUGCACUGUGCACCUGGAAAAACUGCAGAUGCUCAACACCCGCCCAUGAAAGCAGCUGGAAGGAGGCUGUAUCCUGCAAAGCCAUAAGGGCAGAGCUGUUCAAGACCAUUGGAAUCUACCUCUUGCAUCAGCAUGACCUGGAUGUGAGACAUGGAGUCAAAGGAGAUCAUUUUAAAGCUGUAAGAUUUGACUGCCCUGCUGGAUUCUGGAUAUGCCUGGGUCCUGUAGCCCCUUUGUUUUGGCCAAUUUCUCCCAUUUGGGAUGGCUGUAUUUACCCAAUUCCUGUACC
rnacentral:lncRNA from 1 species